rnacentral:rRNA from 1 species
UACGUAGGGUGCGAGCGUUAAUCGGAAUUACUGGGCGUAAAGCGUGCGCAGGCGGUUUUGUAAGUCAGAUGUGAAAGCCCCGGGCUCAACCUGGGAAUGGCGUUUGAAACUGCAAGGCUAGAGUGUGUCAGAGGGGGGUAGAAUUCCACGUGUAGCAGUGAAAUGCGUAGAGAUGUGGAGGAAUACCGAUGGCGAAGGCAGCCCCCUGGGAUAACACUGACGCUCAUGCACGGAAGCGUGGGGAGCAAACAGG